rnacentral:lncRNA from 1 species
AAAGAAUAAGAUAUUGACAUUUGAAUCCAAAAAAUCAACAUAAUAUUGAACAUUUCGUAACUGGAUUAUUUUACAAAUGGAUUUACUUUAAAGUCUCACGGUGAAAGUGUACACUAAAUAACAGACCGACAACCUUGACAUCUGCCUAAAAACCUAAAUAAUGACGGGUAACAGGGGUGCAAUACAGCUUCUCAGGCCUCCCAUCUGUAGUUAUUGAACGUAACAACAAGUAUGACAUCUAAUUUGCUCCUCAUUUUUUUCUGGUCACAUAGUCCCUGUUCAAAUGCAAAUUAUAUACAGCACAGACCUGUGAACUGGAUCAUUACCACAAGUGUAUGAAUCAAUGGAAGCCACUUUUUCGCAUGUAUUGGAAAA